CUCCAAAUACAGAAAUGCACACAUUCCUGUUUAUCAUAGCUUUACAAAACCAUCGCGCGGCGCAUCAUUUGGCGUUAAAACGAGGACGCGGCGUUAGUCGUAAAAUAUAUAAAAUGGCGUUGCGAUGCGACAAUACAAGGAGAGCGAAUUUAUAGUAGUAAUAAUAAUAACAAUAACGACGGCGAAUAAGAAGAAUAAAAUAUUUCACUCGACAAAAUGUGCGUUACAAAUCGCACGUUACGGGACAGCGCUUUUGGUGUGCAGGGAUCACGAUCGUCCCGGUGUCGGUUCAAACUAGGGCGGUGUAUCCCUGCCAUUUUUCGCAAAAGGGUGGUCUGCAAGGCAGCACACACACUUCCGGACUGCUGCUGCACAACAAGCUACUGGUCGUUAUUUUAUUGUUACCAACUAUCGCGGUUAGUCGUGUUUCGUUCACUUGAGUCGGUCGGUGUUUGAAACUGCAGCGGCGGUUGAUGUGCGUCUAUUCGAAAACGAAAGAGCGGAAAACGAGUAUCGACGUUCGAUCGCCACGUUUCAAAGAAUAAUUUAAACCCGAAAAAGAAGAAAAAUUAUUCGUGGUCAGUGACAGCGUCGUUCUCAAUGCGGGUAAAAAAUGGAGUCCGCAUUGAAUGAAAAUUAUUAUGCACGCCGAUGGCGAUUCAUCAUCAUGGCGGACACUGUGGCCGACGCGGAUCAAUCGUUACGGCAAAUAUUAUGAUAUACAUAUAUAAUACCAUGAAAUUAUAUUGAACUUAAUUUUGUGAAAAUUGGAGAAGAGCACGGUACCGAGCGACAAUCAUUUGGAUUUAUACGCGAAAUACUCCACGUACUCAUCGAGCGCAGGAAAAUCCAAAAUGGAGGGUGACAUUCCGAAGAAUUCUUCGCUGCGGUUCGAUAGUACGUAGUUUCGAUUCAUACAGGUGAGAGAAUUAAUCUUCGUAUCUAUUUUUUUGUGUUAUUAAAUAAAAAAUAUAAAAAUAAAAUAGACAAAACAAAUAACAAGUAUGACGGUAACUGAGAGCAUAGGUAAGUACGUACUGCACACAAGUUCACAACGCUAGAGAAACUAUUACACAUGCUCCAUAAAUUUAUUAAUUUCGUAGACGGACUGUACGUAUAUUAUUUAAUUGCCACGAUAUACCCGAGAUAAUGGCAAUGCAGAUAAGAAAAUCUACAUAGAAUAUCUGGUUAAUUAAUUUGUUUAACGUAUAUUAUGAAACUUUUUGUCCGACGUUGCGAAUUAAAAUUUUUAUGCAUAUAAGUAGGUAAUAUGUGUAGCUCGAUAUGUAGCUACAGUUUGCGGUUAUAUGGUUGAAAUGCACGUACAGGUAUAAAUGUGUAUACAGGUAGAGCUAACUCAAAUUUCUAAGACCAGGUCCGCGUUGUGCAAAACCACUAUGGGUACAUGGCAUAUAUCACAGAGAUUUGGAGAAAUUUAUUGAAGAUCGAGAAAAAAUUAAAAAAAAAAUAUGAAUCAACAAAUUGGGUAACGGUAUAAGAUCUGGACGAAGGAAUUUUUCGAUUCGCAAUCGAAUAAAAGUUUAGAAAUUCAAGCAUAUUAUGUAUACAAUUUCCACAUACGUAUAAUGUAUAUAGGUUUUGCAUGUAAUGAUAUUGCUAAUUAACCAUCAUGAAUAAUAUAUUUUACUGCGCACAUUUGUUGAAAAUUAACAAGUAAAAAAGUAACAAACUGUAGUUUACCUAAACUCCACGGAUUUAGUCACGAAAAACAAAAAUUCUCAGUGCCGAUGACAUAACCGUGUGGAGUGACUGUUUAACAAAUCAAAAAAGCAGACACUAAUUUCAUUUAGAAUUUGGCACACCUCAGCAAAACCCAUGUGAAGUUCUUUUGAUAUUGGUCCAUGGUAAUUUUGCUGGGUCCUAUUAGCUCUUCUGAGAAGUAAUAAUUUUCAAUUUCUAAAUCACUUACUGUAAUAGAACGCACGUAAUCAAAUCGAAAAAUGCACGAUCUUUCUCAUUCUCUUUUCUCUUUUACAUUGCCACGAAAGAUAAAUCUCAAGGGCCGAUGGCAAAUGUUUGACGAGAGAUGAAUUGCCACGAAAAUCACACCUCAGAGUCGAUGGUGAUUCGAUAAUAUCAUAGUGUUGUAUAUAUGAAACUAUUUUAAACUAAUUUUCCCUUUUUUAAUAACUAUUUGAUUUCAUUUGUCCUUCAAAUUCUUGUCCCGUAAUUCUUUUUCAAUUUCACGUCAUUAUAUUUCACACGCAUUUGAGAGUUUUUUUGUUGUGAACCUACGAAUUUUUCCCAUCGAGAUAUCCUUAAUUUUUUGGAUCUUUUUAGAACAGGACACGCUUUGAAAUAUAAUACGAAUAUGUGGAUGUUGGAUAUUGUAUGUAUAUAAUAUAUAUAUAUAUAUAUUUGUGAUUAAAAACGUACGAUAAGGUACGAUGCUGCUGGUUAUAUUAUAGUGCUUGAUAAAUAUGCUCCAUAAGGUUAUACAUCAUGACAUCAUGACAUAAUUAGUUAUUAAUGCCACGAAAAAAUUUCUAAGACGAUGGCGCAUUUAUAUAUUCACGUACAUUAAUUCUGAAACCGCUCUUAUUAUACAUGAAUCUCGUAAACAAAAUGAAAAGAAAAAAAAAAUAACGACACUUUCGUCACUGACAAUAUUGAAUUACGUUCACAUACCUACGUAUACGAUCGUUUGGAAAAGUUACAAGUACAAAAAAAAAAAACACAUAAAGAAUUCACACAUUUAUUCGAAGAUACACAUGUAGAUAAAAUAUACGGUUGUCGCGUUCACAUAUACCCUGUUUUAAUGGGGGUGAAAAAUUAACGGGUCGAAAUAUAGGCGUACGAUAACGCGAGGUGAUUUCAACGCGUGUUGGAACUGCAUUAAAAGAAAAAAUCAGAAAAAGAGAGUCGGAAAAUAAUUUCUCGACUAGAACCGAUGCGCGGGAGUAAUUAUAGCAGCUCUUGGUAUUUAUUUUCUCUUUAAUUAAAUGUAAUAUAUAUGCAUAAAUCAUUUACCUGUGUACCCUCAAGAUCAAUGUGUGCCGUGCGUGCUUUGAAUAUCUGCAAUAUCUGUUAUAUUGCGACGAAACUCGUCAUCGCCAUAGGUAGCAUCGUACAGCACCGAAAAAAAGUACUAUACGAUGCUUGGAAUGUACUAUGCAUUUACAAUGUACAGUCCAUAAUUGAAAGUAUUCGAUGCAGCCAAUAUUUUGCCAGUGUACAUACUAUAGGUAGAUGUAUGGAUGCGAAAUUAUUUAAUCUGACGUCCGCAUCAGAGCGCGAUGCAGUUCAAUUAAUUAAAACAUCUAGCCGUAGAAAAAAAACGGGACAAAAACGUAUAGACAUAUCGAUAGAACAAAUAAAUUACCAAUGGAAUGUAUAUAAUUUCUUCUUUUUACAUUUCAAACGUAUACCAAACGCAAUGCCGAGACACGCCGAUACGAUAUGGGAUGCGGGGGCAUAAUCGAAUUAAGGAUUGAUUAAUCGCGGAAUUAUAAAGAAGACUGAGAACACACAGGUGCUUUUUCUUCCGAAAUCAUCUUCAACGAGGGUUGAAUUAUACAUCGCGCGCAUCCUGCGGAUGUCCUAUCCGAAGUCAACGAGUCAACUAAAACGUCUUUUGUUAACUUUGCAAUUAUUGCGUCUAUGAAGUUUCCACCCGUCGAGCUGGGUUAUCUGAAAAUUGCCGGAGUGGGCAGAGGGCAACUUGGGUCAACACCAGAAUCGAAGUAAACAGCCUAUCUCGUACGUUUCUCGGCGUUCUCUACGAGGCCGCGAGAGUUCUUUAAAAAUUAUUGCCACCCCCGGAUAACGAGGAGAACUGCGAGACAGCAGUUUAUACUUAUUAGUUUAUACUUAUAUACGCCCGUCGUAUGAAAGCAAUUAAAAAUAACCAUUACAUAAAUUCACUGUAUCAAAUAUAUGUAGGUAUAUAUUAUACUGUAUUAUAUUUAUAAAUUAUAUUCAGCUGCUGCUUAUAA